CCUAAAGAAUUUGGCGGUGUUUUAGUCUUCUUAGAGGAAUUUGUUUCUUUAUCGAUAAUCCUCGUUUUAUCUUGCUUUAUUUUGUUUUCAGUAUGUAUACCGCCGUUAUAAGUUUAUUUUUAUAGAAUAUAAAAUUUACUUAACUUUUAAUUAGGAUUUAUUUCAGGUCAAGGUGCAGUUAAUAAUAAAGUGUUAAUGAAUUACAAUAUUAUUUGAAUAUAAUGGAUUUAUAUUUUAAAAUUUUAAUGAAGGUGGAUUUAAUUGUAAUUUUAUUUAUAAUAUUAUUUUGAAACUAGCUCUAGAAUAAGUACACAUCGCCCG
rnacentral:rRNA from 1 species